ACUCAAGGCAACGGUUCGGAGGCCGGGGGCUGCUCCCAGGCUGGGGCAGGGCGAGUCCGGGGGGCGUUUUCAAUCCAGGAUCAAGGGAGAUUUUAAACACUCAGCAAAAACCCCCUUUCCGGAACCACAGUAAAUUGAUCCAGAUGGGGCAUCUCGCACAGGAGAACACCAUUAUAUUCGGAAGCAGCCCAUGACUGUGGAGUAUGUCCAGACUCCAGAGACUGGGGAAAAUGAAGAUCAUGUGGUAAACAGAAUGGUGGCAGUCCAUCAAAGCUUUCUAAGCCUCAUUGAGAGAAAAGAAUGAAUGGAAACCCAAAACUUCUGAGAGCUCUUAACACACUACAAAUGGAGUUUAGAAUGGAGUAUAUCACUGAAGCUGGACUAUACUGAUGUCUGUUUGCCAUGCAAAUCCAUUCACUGUCUUAAAGUUGCAUGCUACAGAUGCUGCCUGAAUCUGUUCUCAUUUUCAUAAUAGAGGAUGACCCUUAUAAAUUAAAAAUUAUUCUAAUUCAAAAGAAAGAAAGAAAAUUAAGAAAUUAAUUAGCUUCAACCUUUUUGUGCAAAGCCUAAAGCAAUUAACAGAACUAGCUUCUUCUGAAACUGUUUAAUCUGUUUAACAAAAGACUGAAAAUACUUCCUUUUCUGAUGAGGGAUGGGAGACAUUGCUUCAGAUCUAAUCUGAGGUUUAAUUUAAUGAAGGAUACUAACAUUGCAAGAAAGAAACAUGCACAUCAAGCCAAUAUACACUAUUGUUCACAUAUAUACAACUAAGCUGCCUAUUAGGCCCCACUCCUGCACUAAGAACUCCAUGCUCAGAUCCUUGCAUUCAUAGUGAGCCCUCCAGGAUAUGUCUAACACUGCAACUGGGAGCAAGUCUCCCAGCACAGAUUAACAGACUCAAAAUAGCAAUGUGUGGCUGGUGCUCAGGCUCUCAAGACCACCUGAACCCCUAUGCUUGAGAGCCCAAGCUCCAGAGCCGGAACAUCCACAGUUCAGAUCUGCAGAACAUAGCGUUUUUCCUUAGAGUGGCAUUUCAACACACAUGAGCCUUAUUCUGAUCUCACUUACACUGGUGCUACUCAAUUGGCUUUGAGUAAUGAAGUUACUCAGUUUUUAAGGUCUGGCUUGACAAAGCCCUGGAUGGGAUGAUUUAGUUGGUGUUGGUCCUGCUUUGAGCAGGGGGUUGGACUAGAUGACCUCCUGAGGUCUCUUCAAACCCUAAUCUUCUAUGAUUCUACUCUCAAUAAAUAAUGGUGUAACUAAGAGCAGAAAUUUGCCCACAUAUCUUUUUCCAUUUGCUGAUCUAAAAUAAUGGUGGAGCAUUUUUUAUGAAAGGUCUGGAAGGAGUUGAAACUUUCAUUCCUUAUUAAACAGAAAACUUCUCGAACCUCUUUGCCUUACAGGGCUCAGUUUGAAAGAGAUGAUUGUAUGUCAUAGUCAUUCCAGAAUAAAUAACAGUCAUAAAUAAAACAACUACUUGCAUAGUACAUUUUUUCAUAGCUACCCCACAGAUACAAGUAGGAAAUGUCUUUGUUGUUAUUAUUGAUUAUAUCCAGUAUUACUUUAAGGUACACAGUGCAAUGCAUUUGUAUAUAUUUGUAAAAUGAUUACUAGAUCCAGCUAUAUUCUUUAAUAACUUGUGCUGACUGAUGUGUACAAGUAAUAAAUGUUUAACAGAUGAUAAGAUAAAGCCAAUUGAAAAGGAUAUUAUCUUAAGAUAUGAAAGUUAAGACAAUGUAUACUAAUGUUUAAUAUAUGAAUUCAGUUUAUUAUGAAGUAUGCUACCCAGGGCUGUGUAAUGUAUUACAUAGCAAUAAUUAAGAAUUUAUAAAUGUCUUGUUGAUAUAAAGUGUUAUUGAACAAAAUUUCUAUAAAAUAUAUGACUCUUAACCAUUCACUGCGUGCUAAGGCAUGGCUGUAUGAAAACAUUAUUAAGCAAUAAA